UGCAACCGUCGUCAUUGCUUGUCC
rnacentral:siRNA from 1 species